rnacentral:rRNA from 1 species
GAUGAACGCUGGCGGCGUGCCUAAUACAUGCAAGUCGAGCGAACAGACGAGGAGCUUGCUCCUCUGACGUUAGCGGCGGACGGGUGAGUAACACGUGGAUAACCUACCUAUAAGACUGGGAUAACUUCGGGAAACCGGAGCUAAUACCGGAUAACAUGUUGAACCGCAUGGUUCAACAGUGAAAGACGGUCUUGCUGUCACUUAUAGAUGGAUCCGCGCCGCAUUAGCUAGUUGGUAAGGUAACGGCUUACCAAGGCAACGAUGCGUAGCCGACCUGAGAGGGGGACCGGCAAACCUGGACCUGAGAACGGGUCCAGCUCCCAAGGGGAGGAAGAAGUGGGGAACUUGCCGCAAGGGCCGAAACCUGGACGGGGCAACCCGGGGGGGGGAAAGAAGUUUUUGGAAUGGUAAACCCCUGUAAUUGGGAAAAAAAAAAUGUGUAAGUAACUUUGCCGGUCUGGAGGGUACCUAACCAGAAAGCACCGGUUACUUCCGU